AUUGAACGCUGGCGGCAGGCCUAACACAUGCAAGUCGAGCGGAUGAAGAGAGCUUGCUCUCUGAUUCAGCGGCGGACGGGUGAGUAAUGCCUAGGAAUCUGCCUGGUAGUGGGGGACAACGUCUCGAAAGGGACGCUAAUACCGCAUACGUCCUACGGGAGAAAGCAGGGGACCUUCGGGCCUUGCGCUAUCAGAUGAGCCUAGGUCGGAUUAGCUAGUUGGUGAGGUAAUGGCUCACCAAGGCGACGAUCCGUAACUGGUCUGAGAGGAUGAUCAGUCACACUGGAACUGAGACACGGUCCAGACUCCUACGGGAGGCAGCAGUGGGGAAUAUUGGACAAUGGGCGAAAGCCUGAUCCAGCCAUGCCGCGUGUGUGAAGAAGGUCUUCGGAUUGUAAAGCACUUUAAGUUGGGAGGAAGGUUGUAGAUUAAUACUCUGCAAUUUUGACGUUACCGACAGAAUAAGCACCGG
rnacentral:rRNA from 1 species